AUGUCUUCUCCUCUCCCUGAUCUCUCUCCGCCUUCAAUUUGAACUGCCUGCAGGAGUCACGAGGAAUGGCGAACUUUGUUGAGCUGAAAACUUCCGGCGACCAUGAAACGAGAGAGAGAGAGAGAGAGUUCGUACUUGCAGAGAGGGACUUUGCAGGAUGCAGUUUGAUCGCAGAGGGAGGAGUGGAGGCGGCAGAGCCGCCUCAUUCUCGUGCAAUGUGGGCAGCACUUUGGGACCAACUUAUUGUCGCAGGUGGCGUAGUGGCGGAGGAGGUGUUGCAGUCUCUGGCACGUGAGAGGACUCUUGCACGGGGACUUCUUCCCGCUCGAGGCCUCGUCCGCGCAGCCGCCGGCGAAUGUGUGUUGCAGGCAAUCCAUUGCCUCGCCUAAUAUCUGGUACAUCUCCUGGUUCGCUCGUUCUCUUCUCCAUCGCUUCUUUCUCUGCAUGUUCAUGCGGGAUCGGGAAUGAGUACUCGAACUAAUCCUUCGCCGGAAACUGCAUAGAGUCCAAGACGUUUCCUGGGCAAUGCCUUUCCGAUAGGAUUACAUGCGUCCAUGUGCAGGUCACGAACCUGGUCGGCUUCCUCCAAGAACUGGAGGAUCUCGAGCUCGAGUGCGGGGUCAUGCUUCUGAACGAAUCGCCACCCCUCCGUCUGCUGCACCGCCGCAAAGUCCUUCGCCACCUGCCUCAUGCACCGCUGACGCAGCCAC
rnacentral:lncRNA from 1 species